UACAGUCAUAUCACACUGAAACACUAGUUCCCAUACGAUCAUUGAAGUUAAGCAAUAUCAAGCCUGGUCAGUACCUAGUUGGGUGACCUAUUGGGAAUACCAGACACUGU